CCGUUAAACGUCACACUGCAUAAAACCUAAAGUCAUAUUGUGUGUAUGCCUUAGUGUAGCAUGCGCCUCUAAUUACACUAUGAUGUGAAAGGCGAUGUUUGAUAGCAGCAUCUUGCUGCCUGUGUACAACAGGGUUUAGUGUUGGUUCUCACUACUGAUUGUAAUGUUUUGUAUUUUCAAUACGGUUGAAUUGAUUGAAUCAAAGCAAAACAACCAAACACAAUUAUAGUGUAGUUCAUAUAAAUUAGAAUUACAAUUAAAAUGAAUACUUCAAUUAAAAGGACCCAUGUAAAGGUCCAUGUAAUCCUCUGAUAGUGUCUGUUUUUCCACAACAAUAGAUUUAAAUAGCUGAAUGAGACUUGUGUCGGAGAUACAUUUGUUUACGGUGUAAAUGAGUGAAUAUGGCACGUUUUUUUCUUCUGAGGUAACGUGGGACACAUUUUCAACAAUUACUGCCCCCGGUGCAGAUUACCUAGUCACCAGGUAACCAGCCCUGUCAGCGAGUUGACACGCCGUCCAGGUCAGUGGUCUGGCCAAAACCUAGCACGUGCACACGUGCAGCGACUGUUUCUCGUUGCCGGCAUGAAUCAAAAAUGCUAUUUACAUUUUAUGUUAAUGUUAUUUAAAUUAAAUGGUUUUCACAACAAUUGUAGUCUAAGUAGCCUUUGGGAGGUCACGUACUGACAUCCACAACGACUUGACUCUUGACCCCCUCCAUGCCACCUGCAUUGGCCGGCAGGCUUGGAGCAGCUCAGGUCAUUAGGGCCAUUCAGUAGAGUCCAUUAAGUCUCCCUGGGGGUGUGGGGGGGGGGGGGGGGAGUUGUCGGCCAACGGACAGACCUCAGGAUUCCUGCACUGGCCGUAUUGCUGAUCCACUGCUAUAGUGUGGAGCUGGAUGCGUUUAGAACCUAACCACUGCGGUGUGUGUGUGUGUGUGUGUGUGUGUUUGUGCACUGUACAAUUAUUUUUUUAUUCAAAAUAAGGUCAAAGGACAAUCAGCUACAGUAUGAUUGUGUGCAAAAACAAAAAUGUCAAAUUAGAAACGCAAUCCUAUUGCAGCUAUAUGCUGUACGAGUGUAUGUUGAUAAACCAUGUUUCACACAUGUGCACACAGGAAAAGCACACAGAAAUGACUACAGACAGAGAAAUGGAAAACACAUAAGAAGAAGAUUGAUCAGUACACUUUGAUCAGUAUAAAUGUUGAAUCCUUUGAAAUUAUAUCACUUUGCACAUUACAUAACUUCAGGAAGAAAAAAAAAUAAAUCCUUUGAAGGUUUUUCUUUCACGCCUCUUACCAUUAGAAACUGUUAAAUGCUAAUGUGUAUUAAGUCUAAAAGCAACUAUCAUUCAUCUUUCACAAUGCUUGGCUGUAAAUUACAACAUUAUCUGUGUAGAAACGGACAAAAAAAAGGAGGUAGCGCUGGAAAUAAUGGAAGGAUAUUUAAAAAAAUGAAGAAAAAAACAGUCUCUGGGAAAGAUUAGGCCUGCCCCUUUCCAGUAGGGCCUGUCAGAUUUAUUUCCAACAUCAAGGGCCUCUCUCUCCUCUCUCCAACCCCAUUCGUCAGAGGCCUGUCGGGGUUUUAUGUGUGGCCAGAGUCUUGGACGCAGACUAGGGAGGCUGGGUGGAGGGCUGGGUAGAGCUGAGGGCUAGGGGAGCAGAGAGCUGGUGCGGGGGGUCAGUGGGCAAGCCUUGCCUGUCCCCAGGAACGGUUGCCAGGGUACGUGGGUCAGAGGCAUCCUCCGUCGUCUGGUAUCCCAGGGUGCAACAGGAGCACGGGACCCCAGUGAAUCCGCGGUGGAGGUGAAAGGCCCUGUCACCAAGAUAAAAGUGGACCUCCCUCCUCCUCUGAUCUGCCAUGAGAGAGAGCCGGAGGGAGGGAGGGAGGGAGAGAGAGAGGAGUAUACCGAAGGAGGG
ensembl:lncRNA